UGAUCACUAGGACUCUUCAUCCCAUCUCCUUACAUACCUAUAAAGGGGCUUUUGUAGUUUCUUUUAUGUGUGUAAGAUAUUAGAAGAGAGGUCUUCAUGUGAAGAAAGUUUGGGCAUGGUUCAUGGUAUAAAAUAUAGAGAGGAGGGUUCUCUCUCUUGGGGUGUGCACAAAAAUCUGAAUUUCAGAUUUUUGAUUGUAAAGAUUUGGGAAG
rnacentral:lncRNA from 1 species